rnacentral:lncRNA from 1 species
UUGGGGGCACCCUCGGGGUCCCCACCUCCAGGGCCAGGGUCCGUGUCUCUCUCCUCUCCAGCUGUGACCCAGACACCUGAUAUCGGGGUCCAGGGGACCCUGGAAUCUGGCCGCCCCGGGAUCAUCACCUGUGCCCUGCCCACGGCCUCUGAGUGGUGCACACCCCCCACCUCUCCUGGAUGGGGGCCGCCCUCCGCUCCCUGCGGUCCAGGCCCCCCACCUCCUCAGUGCUGACCUUCACCCCGGGGCCCAGGGACCACGGCACAGACCUCACGUGUCGAGUGGCCUUCCCCGGAGCUGGAGCCGGCGUGAGCUUCCAGAGCACCAUCAGGCUGAACGUGUCAUGUGAGUGCUGGGCCACGAUGGGGGGCCCUGAGGGUGGUGGGGCCGUCGGGGGGAGGGGUUGGGGGUAAGGGGGGGAGGCCCGAGGUGGGACACUCAGGGACUGUCUGUGGAGGGCAUGCUGGGGUCAAGAAGAAGAGGCUGGAGUUCCCACGGUGGCGCAAUGGGAUCUGUGGUGUCUCUGCAAUACUAGGACACAGGUUCCAUCCCCGGCCUGGCACGUGGGUGAAGGGAUCCUGCACUGGCGCAGCUGUGCCAAAGGUCGAAGCUGCAGCUUGGAUCUGAUCUCUGGUCCGGGAACUCCACAGCCUCGGGGCAGCAAAAAAAGAAGAAAAAGAGACCACACAGACCGCAUCAUCUUGCCUGUGACCACUCCAGCGUCCUGCAGGAGGCCGAUUCUUUCUUUCUGUUCCAGAUGCUCCAGAGAAUCUGACCGUCCACGUCUUCCGGGGAAAGAGCACAGGCUGAGCUGGACCCGGGGGAACCUGACCCUGAGCCCCUCCCAGCCCCUGGAUCCCGGGGUCCUGGAGCUGCCCCGCAUGGUCUUGGGGGACGGAGGGGAGUUCACCUGCUGAGCUCAGCACCGGAGCGUCUCGUACCAUGUCUCCUUGAACCUAGUCAUGCAGGGUGAGCGGACCUGCGCCUCUCAUGGGAAGUCUGAUGACGGGCCCCCACGUUCCAAGCUGCAUCUGCAAACUACACCACAGCUCAUGGCAACACUGGAUCCCUAACCCACUGAGCAAGGCCAGGGAUAGAACCUGCGUCCUCAUGGUUCCUAGUCGGAUUCAUUUCUGCUGCACCACAACAGGAACUCCUGGGUUCCGAGACCAGCUCAGCAGGUUGGGGCUGAAGAACGGGUGCUGUGAAACAUAAGGAAUAAAGUUAACAUCAAACAAGACA